rnacentral:rRNA from 1 species
GAUGAACGCUGGCGGCGUGCCUAACACAUGCAAGUCGAACGGAAAGGCCCUGAGUUUGUGGGUCUCUCGUUAGGCGAACGGGUGAGUAUAACGUGAGUAACAUGUACUUGUAUUUGGGAUAACUUUUGGAAAAUGCGGAUCAUACAGCAUAGGAGAUACUGCACCAUGGGGGGGGAUAGAAAGUUGCGGCGGUUGGGGCUGGACUAGCGGGUUAUCCGCUUGUUGGGGGGGUAGUGGAUGACCAAGUCUUAGACGGGUAGGCGGCCUGAGAGGGUGGCCGGCCACCUUGGGACUGCGAGACGGACCAGACUCCUACGGGAGGCAGCAGGGGGAAAUAUUGCACAAUGGGCGGAAGCCUGAUGCAGCAGCGCCGCGUGCGUGAUGACGGCCUUCGGGUUGUAAACCGCUUUCGCCUGUGACGAAGCGUGAGUGACGGUAAUGGAUAAAGAAGCACCGGCUAACUACGUG